UACGUAGGGUGCGAGCGUUGUCCGGAAUUAUUGGGCGUAAAGGGCUCGUAGGCGGUCUGUCACGUCGGGAGUGAAAACUCGGGGCUCAACCCCGAGCCUGCUUCCGAUACGGGCAGACUAGAGGUAUGCAGGGGAGAAUGGAAUUCCUGGUGUAGCGGUGAAAUGCGCAGAUAUCAGGAGGAACACCGGUGGCGAAGGCGGUUCUCUAGUACGGUACUGACGCUGAGACGCGAAAGCGUGGGGAGCGAACAGG
rnacentral:rRNA from 1 species